rnacentral:rRNA from 1 species
UACAGAGGUCUCAAGCGUUGUUCGGAUUCAUUGGGCGUAAAGGGUGCGUAGGCGGCGCGGUAAGUCGGGUGUGAAAUCUCGGGGCUUAACUCCGAAACUGCAUUCGAUACUGCCGUGCUUGAGGACUGGAGAGGAGACUGGAAUUCCUGGUGUAGCGGUGAAAUGCGUAGAUAUCUGGAGGAACACCGGUGACGAAGGCGGCAUCCUGGACCAAUUCUGACGCUGAGGAGCGAAAGCCAGGGGAGCAAACGGG